GUCCAGAUGACUUUAGUUAAGUCUAUCUGUGGUUUCCUGACAACAACAACAACAAAAAGAGUCUACAUUACCAUGCUGUACUUUGCCUUGUAGGAUAUGUAUGCCAACUUUCCUGGCAAGAAUGACUUGGAUAAGAAAAAGAAAAUUGUUGUAAAAAAAUAGUGGCAGGCUAAAGAACACCAAGGAUUGGUUCAACAUCACCAGCAGUAUUCAGAAUAUUCUGGUUCUCUGCAGAGCAUGGCAUGGAAACUAAGGAGACUAAGGAGUACAAAAAUUAAAUAUGCAUGGUUAAUGGAACACCUCUUGUUUCAGAUGCAGAAUAUAUUAUUGUAAAAUAUUGAAGCA